rnacentral:rRNA from 1 species
AGUGAACGCUGGCGGCAGGCCUAACACAUGCAAGUCGAACGGCAGCACAGGGGUAGCAAUACCCUGGGUGGCGAGUGGCGGACGGGUGAGUAACACGUGGGUGACCUGCCCUCAGCUCUGGGAUAAGCCUGGGAAACCGGGUCUAAUACUGGAUAUGACUCCAUGACGCAUGUUGUGGGGUGGAAAGCCUUGUGCGGCUGAGGAUGGGCCCCGCGGCCUANCAGCUUGUUGGUGGGGUGAUGGCCUACCAAGGCGACGACGGGUAGCCGGCCUGAGAGGGCGACCGGCCACACUGGGACUGAGACACGGCCCAGACUCCUACGGGAGGCAGCAGUGGGGAAUCUUGCGCAAUGGGCGAAAGCCUGACGCAGCGACGCCGCGUGAGGGAUGACGGCCU